rnacentral:rRNA from 1 species
GGUAUCGCCGUUAGUCAUGUGCAAAUAUGGAUAGCUGUUUUAGCCGUCUUUAUUGACCGGUUCAUAAGAGUUAUCAGAUAUCACUUUGAUUAAAUUAGAGUGCUUAAAGCAAGUGUGUUACUUGGAUAUAAAUGCAUGGAAUGAUGGAAUAUGUUGUUAUUCUAUUUGUUGGUCUUUGAAUGAUAAAAUGAUUGAAAGGAACUGUUGGGGGCAUUCGUAUUGUUGUGAGAGAGGUGAAAUUCUUAGACCACAGCAAGACGAACUACUGCGAAAGCAUUUGCCAAGAAUGUUUUCAUUGAUCAAGAACGAAAGUUAGAGGUUCGAAGGCGAUCAGAUACCGCCCUAGUUCUAACCAUAAACUAUGCCAACUAGCAAUUUGCUUUGUAUUUUUUAUGACUAAGUGAGAGGCCACGGGAAACCUAAGUAGGGUUAUGGGGGAAGUAUGGUUGCAAAGCUGAAACUUAAAGGAAUUGACGGAAGGGCACCACCAGGAGUGGAGCCUGCGGCUUAAUUUGACUCAACACGGGAAAACUUACCUGGUCCUGACACUAGAAGGAUUGACAGAUUGAUAGCUCUUUCUUGAUUUGGUGGAUGGUGGUGCAUGGCCGUUCUUAGUUGGUGGAGUGAUUUGUCUGGUUAAUUCCGAUAACGAACGAGACUCUAGCCUAUUAAAUAAUACACGGAAUUUUAUCUUCCGCGGUAUUUCUUAGCGGGAUCAAGCG